rnacentral:lncRNA from 1 species
AGGGUGACCUCUUCUUGGAAUGGCUCUGCACCACCCCCCAGAUCCCUCCGCUGCCCAGUUCUGAGCCCCAGGAGGCUGACCUCUGCAGAAUGUAUUACCCUGGUGCCCUGUCUGGUGGAUUUCUGGUUAAAUUCAGCCAACCUGCGAGACUGGUGGGAGAUUGGAGGGCAGGAAGAAAGAGAAAGAGUGGUUUAUAAAAUAAUGGUAUGUCUUUCAGUCAUUGACAUCCUAGAUUUGCGAAAUGUGACCAUAGGCCUUCCUUCACCCCCUACCUCCAUAUAAAAAAAGGCCCAUUUGAGACGUUCAGCUUUGAAGAGAAAAGGUUGUGUCCGGCAACUCCACCUCCAAUCAAUCAUUAGGACUUACUCCACACCCAGCACUGUUCUAGGAGCUGGCACUAGUGACCUAAUUCUUGAACUCAAUCAAUGUGCAGCUUCUUGGUCAGGUGCAAACAAUGCAAGAAGCUCAGGCGGAGGGGUGAGCUCUGGAGCAGGAACCUGGAGAGCAGGGUUCUAGGCUGAACUCUGCCCCAGGCAAGUCACUGUGCUUCUCAGGGCCUCAUCUGUAAAAUGAGGCAUUUAAACUAAACCUCUGAGGUCCCUUAUUACUUUUCUUCAUCCAUGGAAAUAAUUAACAAAAUAUAAUCAAAGUGAGGCAUUAAAGAAUGUAGCAGAGACAGUGCUUGUGUGCCUACCAAGUGGGUUCCUUUUCCUGCUGGCCAGGUAGCUCAGCCACAUGUCCUGGUGUCCCCAGUAGGUAAAUAGGGCCAGGUGACUGAUUCCUGGCGAAGGGAACAUGCUCAGAAACUUGGUGUGCUCCUCUCGGACCUGGCCCCUGAAACAUGCCGGUGAGAUCCUAGACUCUCCUUGCCCUUCCGUGGUGCCCUCAGAGGCCACAGACUGAAGAUGGCUCUGCCAUGAUGGAAAGUGCUUCAUUCCUGGGUCGUCUUCUGGGAAGAUGCUGCCCAACCUACGUGGACUGUGAUGUGAGCAAGAAUCACAUUACCAGCGUUUUAAGCUGCUCAGAUUUUGUUUUGUUUGUUUGAAUAAUUAGCCUACCCUGAAUAAACCAAAAAGCAAAAUAAGGGUUCAACAACAAUCCCUCAGACGUAGGAAAGAUCAGAGGAGAACACAUGGACCGAGGCCCUGCAGGCACAGACAAAGGAUAAGGGAGACAGUCCAGCUCUGGCAGGAGCACAAGGAUUCAGAAUUUGGAGAUUUGGAUGUGGUUUGUUCUGAGAGUUGGAGAUGAGUAUUUAGUGUAAUAACCCACCCGCACAUUCCUUCCCCACACACAUCCACCCCCAAAGAUCUCCAUCAUCCAAUAGUAUCACCAGGAAAUAUACAAAUAACUCUGAAUGGAUCCACCAAUGUGGCAACAAAACAUGCAUUACCCAUUACCGUAAAGGAGCUGAGGCGGAGGACAGCCUGAGUGCAUUGACCGUGCAGGUGCUGACAGUUAACACUCACCUGAGAUCAAUCUUCACUAAUAAAUCAGCCAUCCCAGACCAAGAAGAGGAGGCAAAGCAGGGCUUAGACGGGGUGGGUGAAAUCCCAUCUUGCCAGGGUUCUCCCAUGAAGGAGGCAGGACCUAAGACCCCCUCUGUGCUGUCAACAGGCCGCAUUAGCACCGGGGAGGAGAAGCCACAUCCACCAAGCACUGCUGGAGGCCCCACCCCCAAAGCUGGGUUCAUCCCAGGGCCUGGAAGAGCCCCCUGGAACAUAACGAGGUUCAACAAAUACUUGCUGAGCAAUCCUGCUUGCUAACACACAUCAGUAGCUAGUGGCCCUUUGGAGGGCUAUGCUGAGAAAGAUCUGGAGCAUGGUAAUCUACGACUGAUAUCUGGCCCAGCCAUGCGGAGGCAGAGCCAGAGGGUAGUUGGCAAAGCUGCUGCCGAGUAUUGGGGUUGAAAAUGGUGCUGAGUUUGGAUUUUCCUAAUGUACUGGCCAGAGCUGUCUGCAUUUCAGAGCUGACUUCUCAUGCGGAGGAGAUGUGGAAACGUCAGGAACUUAACGCCCAGUUCUGGUUGAUGAUCACCUCCUGGGAUGGUUUGGUCAGCCACAACAAACGAGCAGAGUUUCUGGUUCUGUCACUCAAGGAAAAGAUUCCAGUGGAUGGCAGGAGGCCAAGUGACAAAGAAAGCGAAAGUCACAACGGGAAAGAUCCUCUGAGGCCGCACCGUGAAGAGGUGAGAGAGACACUGACAAUGGACCAAUUACUGCAAAAAUAUCAAAGGUGCUGGCUGUGCACCUGGCACUGAAUUUUUGAGUGACUUGCAGAAGGGAAAGGCUGGCCCAGAGUGCCUUGUCUAACGGAUGCAGGUGGUGCACGUGAGCAUCGGCUGGGCCUUUACUGAUCUAUCCUCUCCCAGGCCUGCACUGUGAGAGCCACAGGGGGAGUUCCCACAAGAUCAGAGAGAUUGGACCUCCUGGGAGAGUUCCGUCAUCCCUGGAGGCCUUCCCUUCCACGGGGGAGCUCUCUGUCCACGCAGCUGUGCCUGCAUUCCCCCACCUGCAGCGGGUUAGAGAGCCUAGGGACCCCUCCCCCACACCCCUCCGCUCAGCAAAACCAUCCAGGAAGCCUGGGAAGAAAGCCACUGCGUAAUGAAAAACGAAUGAAGGCCGUUAUACCUGAAUAAUAAUUAUUAAUUGAUGCCAGAGACAAAAUGUAGAAAUUACCGUCGUGACAUUUUUGUUGCCAAAACAAAGGAAACUGGUGGAGUCCAUAUUCCUUUUAAAUAGCAUACCUUUUAGGAUGCCCAACCAUCCUGGUUUGCCCAGGGUGUUCUGGUGCUCGCUUCUGCACAAACCAAGAUGGUUGGUGACCCUAGUUUUAGUUAACAUCAG